rnacentral:rRNA from 1 species
CCUACGGUGGGCAGCAGUGGGGGAUAUUGCACAAUGGGGGAAACCCUGAUGCAGCGACGCCGCGUGUGGGAAGACGGUCUUCUGGAUUGUAAACCACUGUCCCCAGGGACGAGAAUGACGGUACCUGGGGAGGAAGCUCCGGCUAACUACGUGCCAGCAGCCGCGGUACUACGGGGGGAGCAAGCGUUGUCCGGAAUUACUGGGUGUAAAGGGAGCGUAGGCGGGGAUUCAAGUUGGGUGUAAAAACUAUCGGCUCAAUCGGUAGUCGCACUCAAUACCGCAGCUCUUGAGUGAAGUAGAGGCAGGCGGAAUUCCUGGUGUAGCGGUGAAAUGCGUAGAUAUUAGGAGGAACACCAGUGGCGAAGGCGGCCUGCUGGGCUUUUACUGACGCUGAGGCUCGAAAGUGUGGGGAGCAAACAGGAUUAGAUACCCUAGUAGUC